GGUCAACCUCGAAUCACCAUGCAAAAGCCUCCUGCUCAACUUGAAGGAUGGAGAGCGAGGGCUAUACGUUCAUGCUGUCAACGACUCCAAUCAGCAAUGGGUUUUUGCAAGCGACGACGGCUGGACAGCAUGUAGCGAUAAGGUUGUAUUCGCAUUGAAUCCGGGGGUGCAAAUGGCCGAAUAUCUUAUUAGGCCACUAGGGCAAAAGAACUCGAUCACCACCAGCGCCGUGGUGGUCUGGUGGUGUAAUGGGGAUCCAGUGCGGGGAAAUUUUUUACCAGGCAUUGCCCUGCAUAUAUCCACCUCACCACCACUCACUAGA
rnacentral:sRNA from 2 species